rnacentral:SRP_RNA from 1 species
GGGUAAGUCUUGUACGACCAGCUCCCGUGAACCUCCCCAGGGCCGGAAGGCAGCAAGGAUAAAUGGUUGUAGCGGUGCGAUGCAAGGGGCUUACCCGUU